AGCCUCGCAAUUCCUCGCCCAACCUCCUCGUGGUACUGGCCGGGGUACGAAUAACCUUGGGGAAGAUCGGGUAACCAACCCCCGGUGGGAACUUUGGUUGUAUGCUGACAGGGAAGG
rnacentral:ribozyme from 1 species